rnacentral:lncRNA from 1 species
UCAUACUGUAUUCUUUUUUAUCAUAUCAAUUAACUUUUAUUGCUGCCCUGCUAAAUCAGUACCGGUAACAACCAAAAGAUAUCUGAAUACAUUUUAUUUAGAUGCUUCUAUGCAAGAACAUCACAUCUUUCACAUCGGAACAACACAAGCAUCUGUAUAUUGUACAACAACCACUCAUGUAAACUACAGAAAACCUGCAUACAAGAUUUUCUAGCAAAUGUACAUUCUUGAUGAUUACAUGGUGCUACAAAAACUGAAGCCUGAGACAGCCAUACACGAUCUGGACUAGUAUGAGAGGUGAAAUUAUCAGUUUCAUCAAUGCCAUCUUGGAGACCUAUGAAGAUGACUCCUCUGAAGAUUACCCAGUCAUAGCUCAGGCUCUUCAACAGAUUUACCGGCUCCGGGCAAUGAGACUCCGUAAUGACCUUCAAACAAAAUAAUGGUGGCAUCAGGGGAGCCAAGCUAAACUUAGUAGUGACACCCUAAGCUACAAUCAUAGGCAUCUCUGUGUGGAAAUAACAUUGGAUUCCAAAGUAUCACAUUUUUAGAACACAAAGGACAGUCACUACUAGAGAAGUAGCGAUGCACCAUUGGUGAUACAUAUUGAUUUGGCUCAGCGGUAGUUAGCUAAAAAUGUUUUUGUAACUAUGGAAAACAUAAAUUGAUGAUGAGUAAAGGACGAACUAGAUAACAAAAUCAAUAAGAUGAACUCGUAAUGCUUUCACGAAAUUCAGUUAGACUCUGUAAGUACACGUUCUCUUUAAUAUUGUUUACCAAUAAAGGAUGAAAACAGGGAGUGCAUCCCUUGUAAUUGGCACGCAGAUUGUAGAAAUAUAGUCGCAGCUCAUACCUAAAUUUGGUGCUCACAGCACACUAUUCCAAUUCUUAAUCAACAAAAACAUGCCCUUUAGUCAACUGGAACAAGAUGGAUAGAGGAAGAAGCGAACAUACCUACAUCCUUGAGCUGCUAUCGUUGGAUAGUGCUGACGGCGGCGGCUAUCGUUGGAUAGUGCUGACGGCGGCGGCUAUCGUUGGAUAGUGCUGACGGCGGCGGCGGCGCCGGCGGCGGAUUUUUGAGAGAGACCGUCGAAAUUUAAUAACCCUAAUUCGCCUGAGUGGUACAAAAGAGGGAGAGACAGCCGCGUUUCGUUAAGCUCUGAGAUCAAUCUUUGAGUUCGCUGGACCUUAACCCUAGCUUCAAGAGGAUGUACUGGUACAGAAUCUGGCAAAGGGGAGGAAGACGAUCUGAGUACGGGGAGGCCAAUUCGUUGGAUUUAGCUGAGCUGCAAGGACUGG